GCGACCUCCGAACUACAAUCUCCACCCAAUAGCAUACGUUCGAGAUUUUCACAAUUGAAGAGAUGUCAAGCAUCCACUGAAGCCUUUAAUCAUUAAUAUCCCUGUGUAGUCAAAUUGUAAUAAAGUAGUCAUGCAUACCUA